AGGGCCAUAUCACGUUGAAAUACCGGUUCUCGUACGAUCAACGAAUUUAAGCAAAGUUGGCCGUGGUCAGUACCUAGAUGGGUGACCGCUUGCGAAUUCCAGAUCCU